CACAUCUCAUUGCAAUCUACAGGUAACUGCCUAAAUAAAUUAAACACCAACAUAAAGUGUCUUAAUAGGGUGUUGGGCCACAACUAGCCGCCAGAAUAGCUUCAGUGUGCCCUGGCAUAGAUUCUACAAGUGUCUGGAACUUUAUUGGCGGGAUUGGCACCAUUCUUCCAUGAGAAAUUCCAUAAUUUGUUGUAGGGAUGCACCGAUAUGACAUUUUUGGCCGAUACCGAUGUCCGAUAUUUUCCUUACCAAAAACAAACCCGAUACCGAUAACCUAUAUUUAACAUUUUAGCAGCCUUUUAAGCAUUCUAGUACAGUUAAAUAGUUGAAACCAAGUGUCAUAUGUUCAUUUGUUAAAUUAGGAACAGAUUGUUUAAUAACUUGUAAAUUCGAAAAAUUAAUCAUCUAUGAAUGUAUUUUAUCGCACAACAGAUAUUCAUGACACAAAUAUUUUAGCUGCCCUGCAUUACAAAGAUGGUUAAGUUGUUGGUGGCUCUUCUUACUAUCCAAUCUUGUCUGUAUGGAGAAACUUAAAUGCUUUAAAAUAAAUAUUGGUGAAGCUGCACUGAAAAGGUGCUUACUGUCCACACUAGUACAGGGAGCACCAAGAUACUUGCGCACAGCUUAAGCUAGGAUGGGGAAACGGUGCUUGUUCCUUCCCCAGUAUCCAAGUGCAUCUUCAUUCCUGGGAAUAGUAGGUUCUGUCAGGAAAAUGUUGGCCGAUGUAGUAACAGAAAUUGAAAAUACAAUGCGUCUCCAUCUCUCUCUCUCUCACACACACACACGCGCACACGCACACACACCAAAAAGUUAUUUUGUUGGCAUUUACGUAUGUCCUCAUUACCAGUAAAACAUCAUCAAAACCUAUUUCUUUCACUUACUUGCUGUGCUGUUUCGUUGUUCAUUUGUUCAGUCGUUUCAUUCUCAACCAGGAUUUCAUCAUACACGUCAAGCAGUGACGUUUCAGCCCUGUCUGUCCGUGGCCUCUUCUGUCGUGGGUCCUCUUCUUUGGUGCUCACUGUCACUGUGUCCUUUUCCAUCUUGUCCAGCUGUGUCGGUAACAUUUCAUGUAAACCCUGUUUCUUGUCUGCAUCGAAGUAGCGGUCCUUGUACCUAGCAUCGUGCAUGUUGGCGACACAGUAAAGAGGCUCAGAAAGAAUGCCACCAAAUCGCUUGUUCACAGCGUCUAGUAGAGUAUUUUUGCACGUUUUAACUCCACUGUCUGUGUCGGAAGUUUUGUUGAGCAGGUGUUUCAAUGCCAUGACAGAUCGUAUCACGUCUGCUGCAGACGCAGUUGAAGAGCUUAUUUCUUGAGUCAGUUGUUCGAAUGGAGCUAUCACGUAGCACAGCGUGUACUUUGUUCUUGGGGAUUUUCCAAGUUUCAAACAUUUUCUCAAAUGCCAUUGAAAUGGCAGCAGCGGUAGGAGAAGCAGCACAUUCUUGAGCAUGCAAUACGGCUUUCCUCAAUAGGAAAUCCUCAUCGACCCACUGUGCUGUCAGACUCAGCAUGCCCAUGGGGCUGAUGUCGCUGGUCCAAAUGCCAGUCGUGAAGCUAAUAGCAGCGACACCCAUAGCAAGUAGCUUGUGGAUGUGCAAUUCAGCAAUACUGUGUAAUUAGGGCAACAUCUGAAAAAUAGCGUCUAUUUGGUAGUGUGUACCGGGGCUCGAGAUGCUCGACCAGUCGGUGAAAGCCAACAUCAUCCACAACAGAGAACGGUUGAUUAUCAAGGGCAAUGAAUUCCAUUAUCUUGGCAUUAAUGGAUUCCACCUAUGAGUUGUCUCGCUGAAAUUCUCUUACUCUUUCAAAUGACUGCUCAACUUGAACUUUUUUUUUGCUUUUGUUCCAAGUAGACGCUGAACCUCUGGGGUGAUGCACUUUCAAAUGAGUAAUUAGGUUUGUGGUAUUGAAAGAUUUCACUUUCUCCCCUCUGGAAAUAAUAGCAGCACAAACGUUGCAUAUGGCCUUUUUGUUAUCUUCCUUUGAAACUUCGAAAUAGAUUCACACCGCAGUCAUUGUGGCCUAAGUUAGGAACGCUGUGUUGAACAUGGAGCGCUGUAUUUUUCGUGGCAUCCUUACGUCACCUACCUACGUAGGUAUGCACUUCUGCUUUGACCUCCGCGUUAAACUAGAUAUUGGCAUUUUUGGCUAAAAUCGCCCAAUUACGGUGCAUCCCUAAUUUCUUGUUCUGUUGAUGGUGGUGGAAAACGCUGUCUUAUGCGUGUCUAAUUGGGUUGCGAUCUGCGACUGAGACACACACACACCCUUUAAACCUCCUAUGAUCUUUGAGGCCCCUCUUUCAAAGUCACUAAGAUCUCUUCUUCUAGCCAUGGUAGCCAAAAUAAUGGGCAGCUGGACAUAUUUAUACAUGACCCUAAGGAUGUUCAUUGCUUAAUUAACUCAGGAACCACACCUGUGGGGAAGCACCUGCUUUCAAUAUACUAUGUAUCCCUCAUUUACUCAAGUGAUUUCUUUAUUUUUAUCAGGUUUGAAGGUAAGACCCAGAUGCAGACUGUGUCGGAGGAACAGUGUUUAUUACAGCAACAGGGCAGGCAAACGACAGGUCAAGGCAGGCAUGGGGUCGAUAACCAGAGUAGUGGGGUAAAGGUACAGCACGGCAGGCUCACGCAGAUGUUGGUAAUCCAGAGGUGGGGUAAAGGUACAGCACGGCAGGCUCACGCAGAUGUUGGUAAUCCAGAGGUGGGGUAAAGGUACAGCACGGCAGGGCAGGCAGGCUCACGCAGCUGUUGGUAAUCCAGAGGUGGGGUAAAGGUACAGCACGGCAGGCUCACCCAGAUGUUGGUAAUCCAGAGGUGGGGUAAAGGUACAGCACGGCAGGCUCACGCAGAUGUUGGUAAUCCAGAGGUGGGGUAAAGGUACAGCACGGCAGGGCAGGCAGGCUCACGCAGAUGUUGGUAAUCCAGAGGUGGGGUAAAGGUACAGCACGGCAGGCUCACGCAGAUGUUGGUAAUCCAGAGGUGGGGUAAAGUUACAGCACGGCAGGCUCACGCAGAUGUUGGUAAUCCAGAGGUGGGGUAAAGGUACAGCACGGCAGGGAAGGCAGGCUCACGCAGAUGUUGGUAAUCCAGAGUUGGGGUAAAGGUACAGCACGGCAGGCUCACGCAGAUGUUGGUAAUCCAGAGGUGGGGUAAAGGACAGCAUGGCAGACAGGCUCACCCAGAUGUUGGUAAUCCAGAGGUGGGGUAAAGGUACAGCACGGCAGGCUCAUGCAGAUGUUGGUAAUCCAGAGGUGGGGUAAAGGUACAGCACGGCAGGGAAG